UAAUCCGACCUAGGCUCAUCCAUUAGCGCAAGGUCUUACGAUACCCUGCUUUGCUCCGUAGAGCGUAUGCGGUAUUAGCCCGGCUUUCGCCGGGUUAUCCCCCACAAAUGGGCAGAUUCCUACGUAUUACUCACCCGUCCGCCACUCGUCGCCAGGGUUGCCCCCGCGUUACCGUUCGACUUGCAUGUGUUAGGCAUGCCGCCAGCGUUCAAUCUGAGCCAGGAUCAAACUCU
rnacentral:rRNA from 1 species